rnacentral:lncRNA from 10 species
CUGGCAAAGCUACAAGAUGUGAGGGAAGCAGGGGAAACAGAAGAGGAAAGAGUGGUCCAAAAAUUAUCAUGUUACCGCACAGAAGUAUCCUCAUGACCUUCCCUCUCUACAACUGCUGCUAGUUCCUACAUCCAAGUGGCCAUGUGAGACUGAAUAUUAGAUGCCAAGUGCACACAUGUGUUAGACAUUCAGUGAUGCCUGCUGUUAGCCACGCAUUGUUGCAGACACUGAGGGUACAAAGGUGUUUUAAAAAUUGCAGGAGAGAUGACCUAAAUGCAGUAACUAAAUUAUAUCCAUCAGAUCAUGGAGGCCACAAAAGGGGCAAUGGCCAAUUCUAUAGGAGCAGUUAAAAAAGAAGUGGAGUUAACAGGGAUUGUUGGAGAAACAAACGACAAGAUGCCCAUUGAGUACACAUGGCAGUAUGCAUGGCUCAUGGGAAUAUUAGAAAAGAAGGGUUAUUCAGAGGAUAAAGCCAUGGGUCAUGAAGAACA